GAUUUGAAGUCGGUUUUGUGUUUUGCUUAAAAAUUACUUGUAUUAUGUUUAAUGUGCUGUUAAUUGUGCAUUUCAACGGUGGAGAAAAAAUUUGCAGUGGUUAAUUAGCUAAAUCAAUAGUUUUAACGAAUCUAGCUAUUUUU